UACGGAGGGUGCAAGCGUUACUCGGAAUCACUGGGCGUAAAGAGCGCGUAGGCGGGAUAGCAAGUCAGAUGUGAAAUCCUAUGGCUUAACCAUAGAACUGCAUUUGAAACUGUUAUUCUAGAGUAUGGGAGAGGUAAGCGGAAUUCCUAGUGUAGCGGUGAAAUGCGUAGAUAUUAGGAGGAACACCGGUGGCGAAGGCGGCUUGCUAGGCCGGAUCUGACACUGAUGCACGAAAGCGUGGGGAUCGAACAGG
rnacentral:rRNA from 1 species